rnacentral:rRNA from 1 species
CGGCACGGGUGAGUAACACGUAUGCAACCUGCCUGCCACAGCCGGAUAAUCGGGAGAAAUUCCGUCUAAUACGGCAUAAUGCAUCGACGGGACAUCCUGUUGGUGCCAAAGGUUGAUUCCGGUGGCGGAUGGGCAUGCGUCGCAUUAGUUAGUUGGCGGUGUAACGGACCACCAAGACGACGAUGCGUAGGGGUUCUGAGAGGAAGGUCCCCCACAUUGGAACUGAGACACGGUCCAAACUCCUACGGAAGGCAGCAG